rnacentral:rRNA from 1 species
GAUGAACGCUGGCGGCGUGCCUAAUACAUGCAAGUCGAGCGAACAGACGAGGAGCUUGCUCCUCUGACGUUAGCGGCGGACGGGUGAGUAACACGUGGAUAACCUACCUAUAAGACUGGGAUAACUUCGGGAAACCGGAGCUAAUACCGGAUAAUAUAUUGAACCGCAUGGUUCAAUAGUGGAAGACGGUUUUGCUGUCACUUAUAGAUGGAUCCGCGCCGCAUUAGCUAGUUGGUAAGGUAACGGCUUACCAAGGCAACGAUGCGUAGCCGACCUGAGAGGGUGAUCGGCCACACUGGAACUGAGACACGGUCCAGACUCCUACGGGAGGCAGCAGUAGGGAAUCGUCCGCAAUGGGCGAAAGCCUGACGGAGCAACGCCGCAUGAGUGAUGAAGGUCUUCGGAUCGUAAAACUCUGUUAUUAGGGAAGAACAAAUGUGUAAGUAACUAUGCACGUCUUGACGGUACCUAAUCAGAAAGCCACGGCUAACUACGUG